UAGGGAAUCUUCCGCAAUGGACGCAAGUCUGACGGAGCAACGCCGCGUGAGUGAAGAAGGUUUUCGGAUCGUAAAGCUCUGUUGUAAGAGAAGAACGAGUGUGAGAGUGGAAAGUUCACACUGUGACGGUAUCUUACCAGAAAGGGACGGCUAACUACGUGCCAGCAGCCGCGGUAAUACGUAGGUCCCGAGCGUUGUCCGGAUUUAUUGGGCGUAAAGCGAGCGCAGGCGGUUAGAUAAGUCUGAAGUUAAAGGCUGUGGCUUAACCAUAGUACGCUUUGGAAACUGUUUAACUUGAGUGCAGAAGGGGAGAGUGGAAUUCCAUGUGUAGCGGUGAAAUGCGUAGAUAUAUGGAGGAACACCGGUGGCGAAAGCGGCUCUCUGGUCUGUAACUGACGCUGAGGCUCGAAAGCGUGGGGAGCAAACAGGAUUAGAUACCCUGGUAGUCCACGCCGUAACGAUGAGUGCUAGGUGUUGGGUCCUUUCCGGGACUCAGUGCCGCAGCUAACGCAUUAAGCACUCCGCCUGGGGAGUACGACCGCAAGGUUG
rnacentral:rRNA from 1 species